AAUCCAUAGGUUAAUGAGGCGAACCGGGGGAACUGAAACAUCUAAGUACCCCGAGGAAAAGAAAUCAACCGAGAUUCCCCCAGUAGCGGCGAGCGAACGGGGAGGAGCCCAGAGCCUGAAUCAGCAUGUGUGUUAGUGGAAGCGUCUGGAAAGGCGCGCGAUACAGGGUGACAGCCCCGUACACAAAAGCGCAUGUGCUGUGAGCUCGAUGAGUAGGGCGGGACACGUGGUAUCCUGUCUGAAUAUGGGGGGACCAUCCUCCAAGGCUAAAUACUCCUGACUGACCGAUAGUGAACCAGUACCGUGAGGGAAAGGCGAAAAGAACCCCGGCGAGGGGAGUGAAAAAGAACCUGAAACCGUGUACGUACAAGCAGUGGGAGCACAGGUUUACCUGUGUGACUGCGUACCUUUUGUAUAAUGGGUCAGCGACUUAUAUUCUGUAGCAAGGUUAACCGAAUAGGGGAGCCGGAGGGAAACCGAGUCUUAAUUGGGCGUUAAGUUGCAGGGUAUAGACCCGAAACCCGGUGAUCUAGCCAUGGGCAGGUUGAAGGUUGGGUAACACUAACUGGAGGACCGAACCGACUAAUGUUGAAAAAUUAGCGGAUGACCUGUGGCUGGGGGUGAAAGGCCAAUCAAACCGGGAGAUAGCUGGUUCUCCCCGAAAGCUAUUUAGGUAGCGCCUCGUGAAUUCAUCUCCGGGGGUAGAGCACUGUUUCGGCUAGGGGGCCAUCCCGGCUUACCAACCCGAUGCAAACUGCGAAUACCGGAGAAUGUUAUCACGGGAGACACACGGCGGGUGCUAACGUCCGUCGUGAAGAGGGAAACAACCCAGACCGCCAGCUAAGGUCCCAAAGUCAUGGUUAAGUGGGAAACGAUGUGGGAAGGCCCAGACAGCCAGGAUGUUGGCUUAGAAGCAGCCAUCAUUUAAAGAAAGCGUAAUAGCUCACUGGUCGAGUCGGCCUGCGCGGAAGAUGUAACGGGGCUAAACCAUGCACCGAAGCUGCGGCAGCGACACUCAGGUGUUGUUGGGUAGGGGAGCGUUCUGUAAGCCUGCGAAGGUGGCCUGUGAGGGUUGCUGGAGGUAUCAGAAGUGCGAAUGCUGACAUAAGUAACGAUAAAGCGGGUGAAAAGCCCGCUCGCCGGAAGACCAAGGGUUCCUGUCCAACGUUAAUCGGGGCAGGGUGAGUCGACCCCUAAGGCGAGGCCGAAAGGCGUAGUCGAUGGGAAACGGGUUAAUAUUCCCGUACUUGGUGUUACUGCGAAGGGGGGACGGAGAAGGCUAUGUUGGCCGGGCGACGGUUGUCCCGGUUUAAGCG
rnacentral:rRNA from 1 species